rnacentral:rRNA from 1 species
CCAAUAGCGUAUAUUAAAGUUGUUACAGUUAAAAAGCUCGUAGUUGAAUUUCGGGGUCAGUAGGUUGGUCGUGCCACCGGUACGUACUGGUCUCACUGAUUCCUCCUUCCUGAUGAGCUGUAAUGCCAUUAAUUUGGUGUUGCAGGGAAUCUGGACUGUUACUUUGAAAAAAUUAGAGUGUUUAAAGCAGGCUAACGCUUGAAUACAUUAGCAUGGAAUAAUGAAAUAGGACGUUCGAUCCUAUUUUGUUGGUUUCUAGGAUUGACGUAAUGAUUAAUAGGGAUAGUUGGGGGCAUUAGUAUUCAAUUGUCAGAGGUGAAAUUCUUGGAUUUAUUGAAGACUAACUACUGCGAAAGCAUUUGCCAAGGAUGUUUUCAUUAAUCAAGAACGAAAGUUAGGGGAUCGAAGACGAUCAGAUACCGUCGUAGUCUUAACCAUAAACUAUGCCGACUAGGGAUCGGAUGAUGUUAAUUUUUUAAUGACUCAUUCAGCGCCUUACG